rnacentral:rRNA from 1 species
GACGAACGCUGGCGGCGUGCCUAAUACAUGCAAGUCGAACGAACCGCGACUAAGUGCUCGCACUAAGUCAAGGUGAGUGGCGAACGGGUGAGUAACACGUGGGUAACCUACCUCAUAGUGGGGGAUAACAGUCGGAAACGACUGCUAAUACCGCAUAGGACAUAGGAUCACAUGAUCCAGUGAGGAAAGGUGGCGCAAGCUAUCGCUAAGAGAUGGACCCGCGGUGCGUUAGCUAGUUGGUAGGGUAAAGGCCUACCAAGGCGAUGAUGCAUAGCCGACCUGAGAGGGUGAUCGGCCACAUUGGGACUGAGACACGGCCCAAACUCCUACGGGAGGCAGCAGUAGGGAAUCUUCCGCAAUGGACGCAAGUCUGACGGAGCAACGCCGCGUGAGUGAAGAAGGUCUUCGGAUCGUAAAGCUCUGUUGUUAGAGAAGAACAGCGCAUAGAGUAACUGCUAUGCGUGUGACGGUAUCUAACCAGAAAGCCACGGCUAACUACGCG